GGGAGUUGCUUAGUGGCGCAAGUAUAUGUGGUCAUGCAGCUGUUUUUGAUGAUAAUAGAGUUUAGAAUAGGGGCCCCAAAGGUUUUGCAGCCCUGUCAAGUUAAAGCCAGUGCCACUGCACAUGCAGAAGAUGCAAAGAGAGUUUAAUGUUUGGAUCGGCGACGCCACUUUGUGAAAAUAGCGCUUCGAUCCAAACUCGAUGCCAAAGGUUUGUGUCAACAAACAUGGUGGCAUCCGCCGAAGUGAUGGCUCUCGCCUUGUACCAGAUUCGAACCUAGUCUUCGUUAACCUGCAGCCAUCAAAAGCAAUGAACGAUGUCAUAGGCUUUCACUCAUUUCAUGUAGAAAACAAGUUUUAGGCAAGAAAUAAUUGUUAUUUCUUAGAUUGGUAGCCGAACUUGAAGGCCGCCAGGCCUAACACAAACACAUUUUGUUGCUUGGGCGAAACUCAUCUCGUUGCUUGGUCAACUGAGAUUGAAAUCAGAGCUUAAUGUGGCACAAUUUAUUAUAAACACUGUACAUUAGUACUCAGAUUUGUUAUCAUUAAUGAAACACAUAUCGAAAGAGCAAUUAUUUUGCUGUUCUUUUAAUGAAUUUUUGUUGAAGCUUCCGUUUUCGGUCAUCGAGGCACUGCAAGUGCACGACACAAAAAGCGAGCACUAAACCCUAGUCUAAAACUUGUUGCUCUUGCAUGACACAAAGGCCGUGUGCGCAAAGCUCUUUGGGGCCGCAAAGAUAGAGGCCCCUAUUAGAAAACUCUCUAAUAGGAUCUGAAAUAUCAUCUCUGCAUUUUUUGACAUGGUCGGUGACUGCAUUUUAUUGUCUAUCUGUAAUAGGGAGUUUCAGAAACAGCACCCCCAACCAUCUUUGCGUACCCAAAGCCCCAUUACCUGCUUGCGUUCUUUUGUAUACCUUCGUGCAUUCUUUUGUACAUCCGACGGUUUGCAUCCCUAAACUGGCUGCACAAAACCUAGGGCUACCUAAUGAAUUCUAAAUGGUUUUGUAUUUUCCAAGUGAGCAAAGAAAAAAAAAAAAAGCUUAAGUACAUGCUUAGCAAGAAGCCUGUGUAUGCUUACAAAUAUAACAGUAGCUAAUCAGAAAUGAUUGCAUAUAUAAUGCACCAUUAUUAUAGAAAGUCUGUACUAUGCACGAGGUGCAAUACAGUAGAUCUUGAUCCUGCGUAUGAAUCACCAGAGUUCAGGCAUGGAGUCCAAUGCAGUAAAACGUGUAGAAAAUUUAAAAACUUUAAUCCAUUUUGCUGCUUUCUGUUUUUAAUAAUCCUGAAGAUGGAAGAUAUAGAAUAAAAUAAAUCUUUUGGUCAAUGUAAUUGAAUGGUGCCUGAAGACAAUAUGACUUCCAAAUCAAAAGUAGUGCACAUAUAGUUCACAAGUUUUAUGCUUUCAAAUUUUUCUGAGUGUAUUUGUUCUUGUAUUCAUCUGUACGAUGUUAAUCAGCAAUAUUUCAAGUUAAGCCAAAGGUUUCUUAUUUCCACUGAAGACAGACUGCAACCAGCAAAAGCUGUUGUAUUGUAGCUUAACUGGGUCGUCCGACUAGUACACUAUUCAGUAAGCAAAGCUCACAAGGACUAUUGUCAGUUUUCAUGUUGGCCAGCUGAGGAAAAAAAAAAGAAAUCUCUGAAGGUUUUAUAUAUCCUCGAGGGUUCAUGGCUCAACAAGUGAACAAGUCUAUCUCUCUCGCUGUUCCUUCAAACCAAGAUGGUGUUUUUGUUGCUUGUUCAACUAUGCUGAAUGCUCUUGUGUCAUAAUAAUCACUAAGUGUGUGGGACUGUGAAAGAGACAAAAAGCAUGCUUUCAGAGCACUUGUCUCCUCUAUUCUUACAGAGCACAGGUCUCUUCAAGGCAACUAGAUGCAAACAGAUAGGUGAGAAUGUAAUGAUAACACCGCUGCAAAAGCUUGAUGCUGAGGUGGUUAUUGGCUGAGGGAGAACCUAGCCUUGCAUUGGUUGGUCACAGUUCCACUUGACCGCCAUGUUUUGGGGUGUAAUUGAUAGAUCAACUCAUGUUUCAGUGUUACCACAUGAGAGGCAGUCAAAGUAAAAAAAGGGUGGACCACGUGUUGGAAAUCUACGCAUCUUCAUGUCCAUUCUGCCCCAAACCAGUGAGUGAUAUUUGGUGGACAUUAAAUCAAUAUCACGCCACCUGAAUCUGGGUGACAACGCCAUCAGCUUUGUUGCUGUACGUGUGAUGCUCUACAAUGGUGUCGCCAGAUUAUUCAUAGACUUACUGCUGUGAAGGAACAAUGUUUUCAUCUGAAAAAUUUCAGGUGAAAACGUUCGAAUCAGACAGCUCGCUUAUGUUUUUUCUUCUCCCAAGAUUCACCUUGUUCAUGAAAGGCUUAUGCAAACAUUGUUAUAAACAAGAAAAUUUGUUGCACUUUUAUAACUGUUUAAUGAGUCGUUCAUGCUACACUGUGUUGGAAGGUACUGCAGUGCAAAUAUAUUUUACAACUUGCACGCACUUUGACCUUGAAAUGUUAUAGAGCAUCUAAAAAUUGUCGAUUCUCAAGUAACUACACAUAGUACAAAGAUGAAAAAACACCUGUAAUUGCAUGUUGUGUUGCAUCUCCUACAUCACGUCCAACUUGCCAGCAUUGCAAAAGCCUUACAAAGGCAAGCUUUUGCCUUACUUGGGCUGUUAACGGUACACUAAGACAUUUCUUUAAUGCAGGAAAUGUUCCUAGUCUAUGGGCAACACCAGUGAUGACAUUACAUGAAGCAUGAUAGCCCAUAGACGCCAGCCAUUGGGCGCAUGCAUGUAACCCCUCCCAGAUUUUCUAGAAAACGGAGAAGCAGUGGUUGGUAAUUAGUGCAUCCCACCCGUCCUGUCACUACUACUUUAUUAUGCUUGAAUGUCUCUGUCAGACACCAGCAUCAAAGGGUUACCGUAAGUGUGCCACAGCGUGAAAAGAGGGGAAAAGAAAGAAGCAAUAAGCAGGGCAUUGCCAUCAGUGCCACCCCAGCUGUGAGAAAUGGGGAAAGUAAAACAUUGCUCUAAUUGUAUCUCCUUUCAUGCUAGGUCGCUUUAAGGAAUUUCAUUGGGAAACAUAUUUCUCGAAAGGCAUCACAUUCAUUUCAGCGUGUUGCUCAAUUUCAAGAAAAGGUGCUUCAUGCCUCCUUUAAAGACACUGUUUGUUUCUUAUGACUUGACUAUGGGAUGUUAAGUUUAUCACGUCAAAGCUGGCAGUGGUAGUAAUAAUUUUUACUCCUGUGUUAGCUUGGCAGCACAGCAGGACAAAAUUUUCUUUGAAAACAAGGGCUUGCCAUUUGCAGUCAUUGUGAUGAUAUUCAGGUUAUAUGGUCACAUGCCCUGUUCUCCUAGGUCCUCCUGCUGUAAGGCAGAUAGGAUAGGAAGUAAACCAGCCACUGUGGUUGUUCAAUUGUUGAGGGAAUAAUAUUUAGUACCCAUAUAUCUCUAUGAUCUAGCUUGGCUUUGUGGAGAAAGCACAUUGCAGUCAAGGCGUUUAUUCAGAGCAGUCACACAUGUUCACAACCAGUUCAUUCCAUAAUAUUCAGUGAAUAAGUAUAUCACAACAGUAUAUGCUGCUAAAUUAGGAUGACGGCUGGACCACAACAGUCACCAUGGGCGAAAUUGUUUUUGAUGUUCUAAAUAUUUACUUCUCAUUAAUGUUCUGCAAAGAGUCGAACGAUAGCUAUUAGAAGCUAAGUGAUAUUUGUCAUUGGGUUAUAAUGCUUUUGAACAGACAAAUGAGGUUUGAAAGGGUAAUUUUACAAAUCUGCAAGGGCAUUUUAAGCCACAAGGAUGAAGAUUAGAUAAUGCUAUGUGGUGUCCAUCAUUUCUAUAUUGACUUAAUCACCAGUGAUGGAAAAUGCAGACACUUUCACAAGGUUUCCCUCUAGUAAUCUUGGUACAAAGCUCUAUGAUGGACAGUGAGUGAUGUGCGUACAACGUCAUGAAAGAAAGUAUGGAAAAGCAAAGCAGCUCUAAUACCCACCCUGAUAUUGUGUAAAGUCACUCAUGUUAUGUAUAUGUCCUGUGAAUAUCUCACACUGCGAGAUAUUUUAUUGCUGUCAAAUCAUGUGUUUAUACCCGCUGCCGUUGUUUGCUGCCACGGCUUCAGUUCUCGUAGUGCCUGCAGUAAUUCGUCACGUAAUUCAUCACGAUCAAUCAAGCCAACAUGUGACAUGUGGCCACUGUGCAGUAUUGGUAGUAUUGAUGAUGUGAUUAGUGAUUAAUGUCUAGUUUCCAAGUGUUCAGGCUACGGUAGCUACAUUGGCUCAUUGUGUGUCGAUGAAUUGUAGCAUUUCAUUAUAUCUGAGAUGACCAGAUGUUCAAUUUUCCGCCUGCUGCGGUAGCCGAGUGGCUAUGGAAUUGCACUGCUGAAAUUGAGGUCGCGGGUUCGAUACCGGCCGCAGCGGCUGUAUUUCGGUGGCGGCGAAAUGCAAAGACGCCGUGUAACUUAACGUUAAAGAAUCCCAGGUGGUGAAAAUUCAUCCAGCCUCUCCAUCUGCAGCAUUCCUCGUAAUGAGAUUGUGGUUUUGGCAUGUAAAACCGCCGAGAUUUAUUUCAUAUUACUCUUUUUAGGACAGUCAUCCAUGCUUUUACAUUUAUAUCGAGGAGCCCUCAGGUAUUGUCAUGGAAACCUUGCAAUGUGUUUUUUUUUUUUUUUUUCCGUCUUAUACACCAACUUUGCAUACAUUUAACACAGUUACAGAGCAAUUCCAUGCAAAAAGUUUGUCAGCAUUAUUGGCAGCCAACUGUAAAGCCUCUGUAUGUACAUUUAGUUGUUCUACAUUGCCAUGUGUUUUUACAUAUAAAACAACAAUUUUAGUUGUCAUGGCUCCCUUUGUAGUCCAUCACCACUUUAGUUCUGAUGCAUAAUUUGCGUUGGCUCAUCACGAUCAUCUCAUUCAGAGGGUCAGAUUGUGACCACUAAAGUGCAUAUGAGCCAUGUGGUGCAGCUGCAUAAAUAAAAAUGCAAGAACAGAUGGGCAAGCCUACCGAAGCGGACAUAUUGUGUUGUUGCUCAAAAUAUUCAAGAAAUUCAGCAGAAAGUGAAAGUGCUACUAUUAUACGUUUGGCCUUCACGUGGAGCUUCACAGUGAUAAGAAACACAUUGCUGUGAAUCGGCGUUUGAAGGCUUCGAAUUGCCCUGAACCUACACUGUGCUUCAACAGAGAGAGAUGCACGUUAUUGUUUCUGGAACCUUGAUUGUGCCAAGAACUGUGCCAGGUUGCUUUUCCAAAGAAAUUAAUGAUGUGUGCAGCUGUUUUGCGCGGAUCAUUUUCUCCUUUUUUCUCGAGGUCUUGCUUCACUUUGCAGGUCAUAUGUAAUUGGGCAGCCUGUACAUGCAGAAAGAUGGUACAUGCAUAUGACACUGACAAGAGAGUGCUGUACUCAUCUUGGUUCCCGUUACUACUUUUUUCCACGCUGCCAAGGUUGUGCUGCCCGUGGUUGCAGUGGCGCAUAGCUGCCAGCUUUGCUUAAGCUGACAUUUGUGUGGAUUGAGCGAGUGUUCAGUCAUGUGCUUGUUCUACGAUAGUCUGCUGUAUUGAUGUACCACAUCCUCCGUGAUGCUGCAAAACUCAGCACAUUGUGAUACAGAACCUUUCAUGUUAGUGACAGAAGCCCCAUAGAAUCUGCAAGUGGAACCAGAAGUAAACGGAGCCUCAAUUCAAAAUUUGAGUGUGCUGAUGCAUGUUACAGCAAAAUUUAAGAGAUCACUCGUGCUCACACACAAGUGUGUUGGUGCGGAAGUUGUGCAUGAAUACAGAAUUCCUGCUUAGAAAUCUUCACUUACCCUAGGCACUUACCCUAGGCCGUUAAUAAAAUCAUUUGUAAUAAAUUUGUAACAUUUUAGUCACAAUUUAGUGACUGUUUAAAGUAGAUUGCCUAUAUACAACCUAUAAUUUCCAACAAAUAUUUUGCAUAGUUCACCUGCAGAACAAUUUAAGCAUCAUUUUUACAAUUCCGUAAGUUCACAACAAAGAGAGGUAUUAAACUUAACAUAAUCUGUUAAGAGGGUCUAAAAUAAAUUGUUAUACCACACAGGACAUAUAACGUGCUGCUAGUUUGUGAGUAUGACUGGCAGUGACAUAGAAGAGUACAUGUGUCUGCUUUAAAUACCCCAUCAGUAUCAGUUUGCGGAAUUGCAAUAUUGUUUCAUCUCUAGAGUUACAGGGCCAUAGGCAUGGUGCUUCAAUGUUUUCUUUUUUCUAAUUUGCUUUACUUAUUUUACAAAAUAUUUGAUGGUCCAAAUAAAGGAUCUGCCUCUACCGGUCACUAGAAUUUGACUUCCUUCUUUAAAUGCAAAAAAUCUGUCAGAAACGUUUAGCAGUAGCCAGAGAAGACCCACCUUUGCAUUUGAAAUGUGUCUGACUGGGCAAGGUAUGAGCAGAGUUUUUCUCCGAGAAGAUGGGAAGUACCACCUCAGUGCAUUCUACAUUGUAACAUGCCCCGUCUAUAUCUGGCUCCACUUCAGUUUGCACAGCAGUUUUUUGUGUGUGAUGAUUCCAUUCCUCAUAUCACUGCAGGAUUGCAAUGUGAAAAAAAAAAAAAGUUGUGUCACAGUGAACAGUUCCGGAUGCAGUGUUCAGUGUUUAAGGAAUAUUACGCAACAAUUUUGUAAUGCAGCACUCACAAAAGGACCUCUCCCAAUUGAGCAGAAGCACAAGUGUUUUUUACUUGUGUUAUCGCGCACUUUUAUGGCUUUGGGUGGACCUUCCAUGGCAUUGUUGUAGACACGUGUAUUUGAUGUACAAACCACACCAGUGUACAGCCAAUAAACAUUUUGCACCUGUA